UGCAUUUUAUAGAUUUAUCGGAAUAUAUACAUUGACCGUAACAUAUACAAAAACUGAUAUCGAAAAAAUGGAUUGAUUCGCAUACUUCGUUUAGGAGCAAAAGCGUUGAAAGAAAAUUAUAUAUUCCGUUGCUGAUAAUAAGUUAUUAAAUGGCCGAAGAGACACUGUUAUGGCUGAGCCGCGAGUUUUUGGAAAAUAUGUUGCGGAAGGCGAAAAAUGACAAUUCGAUCCGUGUGAUCGAUAUAUUUUCAAAACCGGCGACGGCUAAGGGGGACAACUAUAGUAGCGAUAUGUACAGAGUUUCAGUUGAAUUUGCGUCGAAACAAGAUGACCGAGAAGUUAUGAACAAAAUAUCCUUCAUCGUUAAAGUCGCACCAUCGGCAGAUACUGUACAAAGAAAAAUGGUUGGUGGUACUGUCUUUUUUUUUUUAAAUUAGAUUUACGAUUGAGAUCACGAAGUCUAGAUACAAGGAGGACAAUCGAAAUAUGCGUUUUCGCUGAAUUUGUGUUGUGAAAAAUGAGAAAAUAGCAAGUACGAUAAUUCUCCACGAGGGGGACGGUGGUGUUCAGGAGUUCAGAUUUUAGUACGUGUGAUUUUAUAAAUAAACAAAUAGUUGUUAGGGCGAGGUUAACGUAACUGUGAUUAUAUAUAUUAAUAAUUUAUUAUAUUAAGAAAAGAAAACAAUAUUAUUUCUGUUAAAUAUAUAAAAUUUAUAAUCUUAUAGGAGGUAUAUUUAUUGCUAUUAGAUCAGCUACUCCGUUAAUUAUGGUAUCGAUUAAUUUUCUUACAGCUCAACAGGUUAUUUUAUAUUGUUGAUUUUGUGGUUUAGUGUUUAAGCUAACUGGCAAUUACAUUUUACAUGUAGUAUUAUUCAUUUUUAUACUACUAUGCUAAUAGAUACCUAUUACAUAAAUUAUCGAUAAAUUAUCAGAUUGAAAUGACUUUAUUUUGCAUUACUGCAUAAAUAUGUGUAUUAGGUUUAAUUAUUCAAGAUAAGAUACAUAGUUUUUCCCAUUUGUAGACGUAUGUUACAUUAAUGUYUAAGAAAAAUUUAUAUUCAUUCCGAAGUCUUUUUCUUGUCCUGUUUGUUGUGUAUUUUUAUUACGUUUUUUAAUAUCUCGUCUGUUAAUAAUUUAUAGUAAAUAAGCUAGGAAAUUAUUGCAUAAAA